ensembl:snRNA U6 U6 spliceosomal RNA
CUGCUCGCUUCAGCAGCACAUAUACUAAAAUUGCAACAAUACAGAGAAGAUUAGCAUGGCCCCUACGCAAGGAUGACACGCAAGCUUGCGAAGCAUUCCAUAUUUUU